rnacentral:ribozyme from 1 species
AGAGGUUGCAAGUUUAAGCCCAUAGCAGAAGCGUUCACAGUGCAGCCCUGCCAGAUUCAAAUGAGUCUUGUGAAUUCUUCU